rnacentral:rRNA from 1 species
CAAUAGCGUAUAUUAAAGUUGUUGCAGUUAAAAAGCUCGUAGUUGGAUUUGUGGGCGUAGCUGUGGUCCAUUUGGUACUAACGGCGACGCCCAUCUUUGGGUUGAACCAGCGUGGCAUUAAGUUGUCGUGUUGGGGGUGCCCAUCAUUUACUGUGAAAAAAUUAGAGUGUUCAAAGCAGGCUUCUGCCGUUGAAUAUAUUAGCAUGGAAUAAUGAGAUAGGACCCUGGUGCUAUUUUGUUGGUUUGCGUUCGGGGUAAUGAUUAAUAGGAACAGUUGGGGGUAUUCGUAUUCCAUUGUCAGAGGUGAAAUUCUUGGAUUUCUGGAAGACGAACUACUGCGAAAGCAUUUACCAAGGAUGUUUUCAUUAA